rnacentral:rRNA from 1 species
UACGUAGGGUGCGAGCGUUGUCCGGAAUUAUUGGGCGUAAAGAGCUUGUAGGCGGUUUGUCGCGUCUGCUGUGAAAAUCCGGGGCUCAACCCCGGACUUGCAGUGGGUACGGGCAGACUAGAGUGUGGUAGGGGAGACUGGAAUUCCUGGUGUAGCGGUGAAAUGCGCAGAUAUCAGGAGGAACACCGAUGGCGAAGGCAGGUCCCUGGGCCACUACUGACGCUGAGAAGCGAAAGCAUGGGGAGCGAACAGG